rnacentral:piRNA from 1 species
UGUCUGAUAUUUGGUGUGCUUCCUCGUUU